rnacentral:misc_RNA from 1 species
ACCCGCUGAGUACGGUCGAACGGGUCACAUACGCGUGCCUGCUUUCACUCCUUCAUAGGAAAAGAAACGUCUCGGCUGCUCUGCCUUCAGCCGUCCUUGCCUUUUGCUUCUUUCUCCCCCACCUAUCGGUUUAAGUGGUCCCCCUUCCCCCAUCUCCAGCCCUCGCCUCCCUAGAUAAAAGAAAGCCGAGGGCGCAAGCCAUCACAGCCUUGUCCCGCCACCGUGUGCUCGCGCGAGCGCCCUACCGCUCUGUUCGUGGUGAAACGCACAACCACCAUGGUGGACUCCGCCACCGGGGAGGCUGACCCUGCCUUAUCCUCCUCUCAGCUUAUCCUUUUGGCGUACGAAGAGGAAGCGCCGCGGUGCAAACCGCCAGAGGAGUUACUUGCAGAGCGACUGCAAGCACUUAAGAGGUAUAAGUACCCCAUUCCUGAAGAUCCCGACAGCGACGCCUCUGGCGCUAAGGCUUAUCUGGCGGUGUGCGCGGAGCUCGCCAAGGCGACCGGCGUGAAGGGUGCAACAAGUUCCAUCGCGAAAGAUCUGGCCGCUGAGAACGAGGUGCUAGACUUGUCGUACGCGGGGCUUGGUGUGAAGGGGUGCACAGCGCUGGCCGCCGCCCUUCGCGUCACCUCGGCAGUGCAAUCACUGAUUCUUGUCGGCAAUUACAUUACUCCGUCCGCGGCGCUGGAGUUGGUGCGCGCCAUAAAUGAUGCACGCAACAUCCAGUCUCUGAACCUGUCGAAGAAUCAGAUGGGCCGCGUGGAGGCGAUGCGGAAGGGUGCACAUCACCUGAACACCUUCUCCGGCGGCGCGGUGGUGAACGAGGUCCUUGCCCCUGGCAGCACACUGCGCUUUUUGGCCCUCUCAGAUAACGAUCUCGGUGACACCGACAUCGCUGCCUUUGCGGAUACCCUAGCCGAGAACAUCACUCUGCAGGAGUUGGACUUGAGCUACAACCGCAUCGGCUUUGUCGGGGCGACGGAGCUGGCCAAGGUGCUGUCCCGAAACAGCGACCUGCGCGUGCUAAACAUCGAAUGGAACCCCCUGCGAGCCGCAGGUGCGCAGCUCCUCUUGUCUGAAGGGCUGCUGCAGAACAACACCAUCAAGCAAUGCAACCUGAGCUCUUGUGGGCUGGAUGAUAAGUGCGGCCAACUGGUUGCUCGCGUGAUAUCGGAAAAUGCCAUCGAGGAAGUGAUUAUAGCCAACAACCGUAUCGGCCGCGUGGGUGCUGAGGCCAUCGCCCGAACCCUGCCGUCCACGUCUGCGUUGACCACACUGAUCAUGGAUGGCAACCCCAUCGGUGACACUGGAAGUGCAGUUCUGCUGGAUGUGGCUUUGAGCGGCAGCGUUUCCACGCUUCGGGUGAUAAGUUUGCAACACUGUUGCUGCAACGACCCCGCCAUCCUCCGACGCGGGAAGGAGGCCUCCACUGCAACGCUCAAGAUUCGCAUUUCGGAGAGCGUGUAGCUGCCUUGCGCUUUUCCUGUUUGACUUGCUUCUCCCGCUUCGACGAUAUGCAGAGGCAGGCUUGCGCCAACUGUGAGUGUACACGUCUGUGUGCCUGUGUGCGUGCCUUUUCUCACCCCUCGUGGGGUGCUUUCGUUUGCAAUGUACAUUACCGUGCCUCAUAAAAGUGACAGCUCAGCCUGCCUGCCUUCCACGGACAAGGUGCGCGCAUGCACGGCAUUAAGGAGGGGACGCGGGGGGAGGGUAUCCUUCUCACCACCCCUUCCCCGCUUUCCCUCGUUUCAAAGUUCCUUCUCUCACGGACACUCAAAGAGAGGUGUGGGUGGCGUUG